GGGAAACCGGGGCUAAUACCGAAUAAUCUAUUUUACUUCAUGGUGAAAUACUGAAAGACGGUUUCGGCUGUCGCUAUAAGAUGGGCCCGCGGCGCAUUAGCUAGUUGGUGAGGUAACGGCUCACCAAGGCGACGAUGCGUAGCCGACCUGAGAGGGUGAUCGGCCACACUGGGACUGAGACACGGCCCAGACUCCUACGGGAGGCAGCAGUAGGGAAUCUUCCACAAUGGGCGAAAGCCUGAUGGAGCAACGCCGCGUGAGUGAAGAAGGUUUUCGGAUCGUUAAACUCUGUUGUAAGGGAAGAACAAGUACAGUAGUAACUGGCUGUACCUUGACGGUACCUUAUUAGAAAGCCACGGCUAACUACGUGCCAGCAGCCGCGGUAAUACGUAGGUGGCAAGCGUUGUCCGGAAUUAUUGGGCGUAAAGCGCGCGCAGGCGGUCCUUUAAGUCUGAUGUGAAAGCCCACGGCUCAACCGUGGAGGGUCAUUGGAAACUGGGGGACUUGAGUGCAGAACCGGA
rnacentral:rRNA from 1 species